rnacentral:rRNA from 1 species
GACGAACGCUGGCGGCGUGCUUAACACAUGCAAGUCGAACGGAAAGGCCCUGCUUUUGUGGGGUGCUCGAGUGGCGAACGGGUGAGUAACACGUGAGUAACCUGCCCUUGACUUUGGGAUAACUUCAGGAAACUGGGGCUAAUACCGGAUAGGAGCUCCUGCUGCAUGGUGGGGGUUGGAAAGUUUCGGCGGUUGGGGAUGGAUUCGCGGCUUAUCAGCUUGUUGGUGGGGUAGUGGCUUACCAAGGCUUUGACGGGUAGCCGGCCUGAGAGGGUGACCGGCCACAUUGGGACUGAGAUACGGCCCAGACUCCUACGGGAGGCAGCAGUGGGGAACAUUGCACAAUGGGCGGAAGCCUGAUGCAGCAACGCCGCGUGCGGGAUGACGGCCUUCGGGUUGUAAACCGCUUUCGCCUGUGACGAAGCGUGAGUGACGGUAAUGGGUAAAGAAGCACCGGCUAACUACGUG